rnacentral:lncRNA from 1 species
UGAUGGGCUAUUCCUGUCCCAGGAGCACAUUCUGCCCCCAACCAUUUAUAAAGUCUAUUAAACUAGAACUCAAGAGGGAAGAGUAGACUCCUGUGCUCCAGAACAUGGGCAUCCCCAGAAAGCCAAGCUGAAGUCUAAAAGAUGCUCCCCACUCAUCAGUCUCCCUGUUCUUUUUGCCUAUGUGGUAAAACCAAUGAUCUUCAAAUGAACCUUUCUUCAAAGUGGUAAUAUACGGUAUAGAGAACAUAGAGAACAUACAUCAUUUAAAUCAUAACAAUGAAGAAUCAAUUAUAAUAUAAAACUUGAAAUUCCA